GCAGGCUCUGCGGUGCCGGCCGACCCCGGAAGCGUGUGUGUUCCGAGCGGAGGCGCGGGUCGCGGGUGCGGUGCUGAGAGCGCUUGCCUGUGCGCCCCGAGCGGGGCUGGGACUCUUCCAGGAUGCCCACGUUCGCACAGAGACCUCGGAUCGCGGAAGCUCGCGUCUCAAAACGCUUGUGGUCACCCGGCCGCCGGGGUUCUUGCGUUUGUAACGUCUUAACAUCGCUGAUCGACCACAGCUGUGCAGGAGGGGCAGUAGGUAUCUGUUGCUACAGUUACCGGAACCUUUGCCAGGACUAGUGCAGAACCACGGGCUGGCAGCUCAGGGAGGGAUGUCUUGUCUGUUACAACUGCAAGCUCUCCAGUAAAGAAGGAAUUUCCUCUUCUACACAGCUGGUUUUUCAUUGGUGCUGCUUGCCCAUUCCCUGAGCUGUGACUGCCCGAGGAGUGGGAGGUUGGUGGUGCCUCCAGCCAAUCAGGGGCAGACCCCGGGGCUGCCUGGGAACAGGACUAUGGCACAAACCGAAUGAGUGCUGGGAGCAACCCACAGGGCUCUGCGCAUGCAUGUCUUCCUUCACUGACAUGAAAUGCAGAAAAGGCAGCUUUGCCACAGCACAGCAGAAUGCACAGAACGUGGCCGCACAAGGCUCUGUCCUUAACCCCGUUGUCCAGAAGCCAUUUACCAAGGGCUCACAGGCACUGAGUGCCCCGUGCACAUAGCCAGACACUGCACUCAUGCAGCGGAAAGGACAGUGAACGAGACUUGGUCCCUGGCCUCCAAAGUCAUAGGGCGUAGCGGCUGUCAUCAGGCAGUGACGAGGGCCAGGAGGGGGACCUCUUAAGGGGCCAUGCAGUUAUGGAAGCCAAAAAGAAAGGCGGCCUGCAGUGAGGAUGGAGUGGUCGGCCUGAAGCCAUCUCUAGCAAGUGGCCAGGACUCUGAUUGUUCUCUGCAGGUUGGAGGUAGGUGGUGAGUCUGAGAAAGGGGCCAGAAAGACUCCCCAGCAACUGCUGGCAAAGGGUGAAGGGCACAUUGCCACAGGAUGCAAGCCACCUGCCUUUGCAGGGGGGAAGAUGGGCACUCAGCUCAGGCGCUCCUAUGGCAGGGUCAGCAAGACAAGCAGGUUGCAGCAGGGGUCUGUGCACUGCUGUGUAAAUGUGGGGGGCAUCAGCAGGUAGACAGAGCCUUCCUGGGGCAGAAAGACCAGGGGAGAAGUGUGCAUCAUCCUUGGGGUUAAGGGAUAGUUGUCUGUUGGAUGUUGCUUCCUGGAGAUGCCUGAAAAGCCAGUUCAGCCUUCGGGGACCAGGCCACCACCCACCUGAUGUGAGCGUUUCCUCCAGUCCCUGCUGGGUGCUGAAUCUGGCGGACAGGGAAGCUGAGGGUGCUGUUCUGAGUGGCGGCUGAACUGAGCCACAGGGCCCUGCUGGACGCAAGAACACUGGAGGCCAGGGGAAGACAGGGCUGAGGUCAGCCCUGAGCGGAAUGGAGUAGGGACUCAGGGUGGGUCAGGGAACUGGAAAGUGGGCACUGUGCACGCAGCCCUUGAGGGGAGCCCAGGUAGGGACCCCCCACCAUGUGCAGAAGGCAGCUGCCUGCUCAGCUGCAUCCCACAGC